GGCACAGGUGCUGCAUGGCCGUCGUCAGCUCGUGCCGUGAGGUGUUGGGUUAAGUCCCGCAACGAGCGCAACCCCCGCCGUUAGUUGCCAGCGGUUCGGCCGGGCACUCUAACGGGACUGCCCGCGAAAGCGGGAGGAAGGAGGGGACGACGUCUGGUCAGCAUGGCCCUUACGGCCUGGGCGACACACGUGCUACAAUGCCCACUACAAAGCGAGGCCACCCGGCAACGGGGAGCUAAUCGCAAAAAGGUGGGCCCAGUUCGGAUUGGGGUCUGCAACCCGACCCCAUGAAGCCGGAAUCGCUAGUAAUCGCGGAUCAGCCAUGCCGCGGUGAAUACGUUCCCGGGCCCUU
rnacentral:rRNA from 1 species